AUUGAACGCUGGCGGCAUGCCUUACACAUGCAAGUCGAACGGUAACGCGGGGCAACCUGGCGACGAGUGGCGAACGGGUGAGUAAUGCAUCGGAACGUGCCCAGUAGUGGGGGAUAGCCCGGCGAAAGCCGGAUUAAUACCGCAUACGACCUACGGGUGAAAGCGGGGGACCGUAAGGCCCCGCGCUAUUGGAGCGGACGAUGUCAGAUUAGGUUGUUGGUGGGGUAAAAGCCUACCAAGCCGACGAUCUGUAGCCGGUCUGAGAGGACGACCAGCAACACUGGGACGGCGACACGGACCCGACUCCUACGGGAGGCAGCAGUGGGGAAGUUUGGACAAUGGGGGCAACCCUGAUCCAGCCAUGCCGCGUGCGGGAAGAAGGCCUUCGGGUUGUAAACCGCUUUUGUCAGGGAAGAAACGCUCUGGGCUAAUACCCCGGGGUAAUGACGGUACCUGAAGAAUAAGCACCGGCUAACUACGUGCCAGCAGCCGCCGUAAGAC
rnacentral:rRNA from 1 species